rfam:Microbacterium sp. LCT-H2 scaffold2, whole genome shotgun sequence.
AACGUGCUCCGGGGUCGGUGGGAAUCCGAACCGGCGGUGACAGUCCGCGAGCGUUCCGAGUGAUCGGGAUGCCGAUCCGGUGGAAUUCCGGAACCGACGGUGAUGCGAGGGACACCUCGCUAGUCCGGAAGGGAGGCAGCACGAG